UGGGGUUGUGGCUCAGUGGUAGAAUGCUCACCUAGCAUGUGUGAGGCGCUGGGUUUGAUCCUCAGCACCACAA
rnacentral:tRNA from 1 species